rnacentral:rRNA from 1 species
UACGGAGGGUGCAAGCGUUAAUCGGAAUUACUGGGCGUAAAGCGCACGCAGGUGGCUGAGUCAGUCGAUUGUGAAAGCCCUGGGCUUAACCUGGGAAUUGCAGUCGAUUCUACUCAGCUAGAGUAUGGGAGAGGGCAGUGGAAUUCCCGGUGUAGCGGUGAAAUGCGUAGAUAUCAGGAAGAACACCGGUGGCGAAAGCGCUCUGCUGGACCUUAACUGACACUGAGGGACGAAAGCUAGGGGAGCGAAUGGG